rnacentral:piRNA from 1 species
GAUAAAUGUGGGACUUCUCAGAAG